rnacentral:rRNA from 1 species
CACCGGGGCGACAGCAAUAUGUAGGUCAAGCUAAAGACUUUACCAGAAUCGCUGAGAGGAGGUGCAUGGCCGUCGUCAGUUCGUACUGUGAAGCAUCCUGUUAGGUCAGGCAACGAGCGAGACCCGUGCCCACUGUUGCCAGCAUGUCCUUCGGGAUGAUGGGUACUCUGUGGGGACCGCCGAUGCUAAAUCGGAGGAAGGUGCGGGCUACGGUAGGUCAGUAUGCCCCGAAUCUCCCGGGCUACACGCGGGCUACAAUGACUGGGACAAUGGGCUCCUACCCCGAAAGGGGAUGGUAAUCUCAUAAACCCAGCCUUAGUUCGGAUCGAGGGCUGUAACCCGCCCUCGUGAAGCUGGAAUCCGUAGUAAUCGCGUUUCAACAUAGCGCGGUGAAUACGUCCCUGCUCCUU